rnacentral:rRNA from 1 species
UACAGAGGGUGCUAGCGUUGUUCGGAAUUACUGGGCGUAAAGGGCACGUAGGUUGCCUAUUAAGUUAGACGUGAAAGGCCUGGGCUUAACCUAGGAACGGCGUUUAAUACUGGUAGGCUAGAAGACGGGAGAGGGAAGUGGAAUUCCUAGUGUAGAGGUGAAAUUCGUAGAUAUUAGGAGGAACACCGGUGGCGAAGGCGGGUCUCUGGGCUGACACUGACGCUGAGGCGCGAAAGCCAGGGGAGCAAACGGG